GUACUGCUGAAGAGUCCCAAACUAGCAUGAAACAGCUGUCCAGUAC
rfam:Trichobilharzia regenti genome assembly, scaffold: TRE_scaffold0038257